rnacentral:ncRNA from 1 species
GAAAGCAGGAUUUAGUGAUCCAGUGGUUCUGUAUGGAAAGGCCAUUGCUAAAUGGAUAAAAGGUACGCCGGGGAUAACAGGCUGAUCUCCUCCAAGAGUCCAUAUCGACGAGGAGGUUUGGCACCUCGAUGUCGGAUCAUCGCAUCCUGGGGCUGAAGAAGGUCCCAAGGGUUUGGCUGUUCGCCAAUUAAAGCGGUACGUGAUCUGGGUUCAGACCGUCGUAAGACAGGUCGGUCCUUAUCCGCUGUAGGCGCAGGGUAUUUGAGAGAGGCUGUCCUUAGUACGAGAGGACCGGGAUGGGUAAACCUCUGGUGUUCCAAUUGUUCCCCAAGAGCAACGUUGGGUAGCCAAGUUUAUUAGAGAUAACCGCUGAAAGCAUCUAAGUGGGAAACUCGUCUCAAGAUAAGAUACCCCGUGAGCCGUAAGGUUCACAUUAAGACUCCUUGUAGACUACAAGGUUGAUAGGUUGGAUGUGUAAGCACCGUAAGGUGUUGAGCUUACCAAUACUAAUAAGUCGAAUGUUUUAGUCAU